UACGGAGGAUGCGAGCGUUAUCCGGAUUUAUUUGGGUUUAAAGGGUGCGUAGGCGGCCUUGUAAGUCAGCGGUGAAAUUUUGCAGCUUAACUGUAAAAGUGCCGUUGAUACUGUGAGGCUAGGAUUUGGUUGUAGUGUGCGGAAUGUGUGGUGUAGCGGUGAAAUGCUUAGAUAUCACACAGAACACCGAUUGCGAAGGCAGCACACUAAGUCAUUAUUGACGCUGAGGCACGAAAGUGUGGGGAUCAAACAGGAUUA
rnacentral:rRNA from 1 species